rfam:Caprimulgus carolinensis contig59612, whole genome shotgun sequence.
CCUUCGAUAGCUCAGCUGGUAGAGCGGAGGACUGUAGGCUGUCUUCAGGAAAGUAAUCCUUAGGUCGCUGGUUCAAUUCCGGCUCGAAGGA